rnacentral:tRNA from 1 species
GUUAAGAUGGCAGAGCACGGUAAUUGCAAAAGAUCUAAGCCCUUUCACCCAGAGGUUCAACUCCUCUUCUUAACU